rnacentral:antisense_RNA from 1 species
CUUCAGCGACCCGAGCCACAGCGGCCGGUCCGCCGGCCGACCCUGCCCGUACGUCGCCAGCAGCGCCUGCGCCUC